AUUGAACGCUGGCGGCAGGCUUAACACAUGCAAGUCGAGGGGUAGAAGUUACUUGUAACUUUGAGACCGGCGCACGGGUGCGUAACGCGUAUGCAAUCUACCUUUUACAGAGGUAUAGCCCAGAGAAAUUUGGAUUAAUACCUCAUAGUAUCUUUGCCUGGCAUCAGGUGAUUAUUAAAGUUCCAACGGUAAAAGAUGAGCAUGCGUCCUAUUAGCUAGACGGUAUGGUAACGGCUUACCAUGGCAACGAUAGGUAGCGGUCCUGAGAGGGAGAUCCCCCACACUGGUACUGAGACACGGACCAGACUCCGACGGGAGGCAGCAGUGAGGAAUAUUGGACAAUGGGCGCAAGCCUGAUCCAGCCAUGCCGCGUGCAGGAAGAAGCAUCUAUGGUGUGUAAACUGCUUUUGUACGGGAAGAAACACUCCUACGUGUAGGAGCUUGACGGUACCGUAAGAAUAAGGAUCGGCUAACUACGUGCCAGCCGCCGCGGUAAGAC
rnacentral:rRNA from 1 species